rnacentral:tRNA from 1 species
UCCCCGUUAGGCUUAGUGGUAAGUGACCCAUAGCAGGCAUGUUAUGAUACAGGUUCGACUCCUGUACGGGGAGCCA